GGGAUUUCCGAAGAGAAAACGCGUGAUUUUUGCUUAAAUGGGGGAUUUCUGAUGAGAAAACGCGUGAUAUUUGCUUAAAUGGGGGGUUUCUGAAGAGGAAACACGACAUUUUCGCUACAAUGGGGGAUUUCUGAAGAGAAAACGCGUGAUAUUUGCUUAAAUGUGGGAUUCUCAGAGAUAAAACAGUUGAUAUUCGAUGAAAUGGGGGUUUUCCGAAGAGAAAACGCGUGAUUUUUGCUUAAAUGUGGGAUUUCUGAUGAGAAA
rnacentral:lncRNA from 1 species